rnacentral:rRNA from 1 species
UACGUAGGGUGCAAGCGUUAAUCGGAAUUACUGGGCGUAAAGCGUGCGCAGGCGGUUUUGUAAGUCUGUCGUGAAAGCCCCGGGCUCAACCUGGGAAUUGCGAUGGAGACUGCAAAGCUUGAAUCUGGCAGAGGGGGGUAGAAUUCCACGUGUAGCAGUGAAAUGCGUAGAGAUGUGGAGGAACACCGAUGGCGAAGGCAGCCCCCUGGGUCAAGAUUGACGCUCAUGCACGAAGCGUGGGGAGCAAACAGG